AUACGAAAGGUGCAAGCGUUGUUCGGAUUUACUGGGCGUAAAGAGAUCGUAGGUGGUUUAUUAAGUCGGAUGUGAAAUCCCGGGGCUCAACCUCGGAACUGCAUUCGAUACUGGUAGACUAGAGUUUGGGAGGGGUAAGCGGAAUUCCGUGUGUAGCAGUGAAAUGCGUGGAUAUACGGAGGAACACCUGAGGCGAAGGCGGCUUACUGGACCAAUACUGACACUGAGGAUCGAAAGCGUGGGUAGCAAACAGGAUUAGAAACCCGAGUAGUCC
rnacentral:rRNA from 1 species